rnacentral:rRNA from 1 species
GGUUCUUUGUUUCUUAAGUAUAAAGAAUCUGACCUGCCCAGUGAUUUAUAUUUAACGGCCGCGGUACCCUGACCGUGCAAAGGUAGCAUAAUCAUUCGCCUUUUAAUUGAGGGCUAGUAUGAAUGGUUUGACGGGGGCUAUUCUGUCUCUAAAAGAAUGAAUAGAAUUUAACUUUUAGGUGCAAAGGCCUAAAUCAAUCUAAGGGACGAGAAGACCCCUUUGAGCUUGAAUGAGAGUUUUAUUAUGUAAUUAUUUAUAUAUUUAUUAAUAAAAUAUAGUUUUGAUAGGGGAAGAUAAGGGAAUAAAAAUAAUUUCCCUUUAGUAAAAAUUUGUUGGCGAAUUUUUGAUCCGUGAAAACGAUUAUAGGAUAAAGUUACCACGGGGAUAACAGCGUAAUUUCUUCUGGAGAGUUCUUAUUGAAGGAAGGGUUUGCGACCUCGAUGUUGGACUAGGACUUCCUGAAGGCGCAGAAGUUUUCGAGGGUUGGUCUGUUCGACCAUUAAAGUCCUACA